rnacentral:rRNA from 1 species
UACAGAGGGUGCGAGCGUUAAUCGGAAUUACUGGGCGUAAAGCGCGCGUAGGCGGCUUUGCAAGUCGAGUGUGAAAUCCCCAGGCUUAACCUGGGAACUGCAUUCGAGACUGCAUAGCUAGAGUAUGGGAGAGGGAAGUGGAAUUUCAGGUGUAGCGGUGAAAUGCGUAGAUAUUGGGAAGAACACCGAUGGCGAAGGCAGCCAUCUGGACCGACACUGACGCUGAGGCGCGAAAGCGUGGGGAGCAAACAGG